rnacentral:rRNA from 1 species
ACGGGUGAGUAACACGUAGGCAACCUGCCCUCAAGUUUGGGACAACUACCGGAAACGGUAGCUAAUACCGAAUAGUUGUUUUCUUCGCCUGAAGAGAACUGGAAAGACGGAGCAAUCUGUCACUUGGGGAUGGGCCUGCGGCGCAUUAGCUAGUUGGUGAGGUAACAGCUCACCAAGGCGACGAUGCGUAGCCGACCUGAGAGGGUGAUCGGCCACACUGGGACUGAGACACGGCCCAGACUCCUACGGGAGGCAGCAGUAGGGAAUCUUCCGCAAUGGGCGAAAGCCUGACGGAGCAAUGCCGCGUGAGUGAUGAAGGUUUUCGGAUCGUAAAGCUCUGUUGCCAGGGAAGAACGCUUGGGAGAGUAACUGCUCUCAAGGUGACGGUACCUGAGAAGAAAGCCCCGGCUAACUACGUGCCAGCAGCCGCGGUAAUACGUAGGGGGCAAGCGUUGUCCGGAAUUAUUGGGCGUAAAGCGCGCGCAGGCGGUCAUUUAAGUCUGGUGUUUAAUCCCGGGGCUCAACCCCGGAUCGCACUGGAAACUGGGUGACUUGAGUG